rnacentral:rRNA from 1 species
AGGACGAACGCUGGCGGCGUGCUUAACACAUGCAAGUCGGGCGGUAAGGCCUUUCGGGGUACACGAGCGGCGAACGGGUGAGUAACACGUGGGUGAUCUGCCCUGCACUCUGGGAUAAGCCUGGGAAACUGGGUCUAAUACCGGAUAUGACCUGCUCUCGCAGUGGGGGGUGGGUGGAAAGAUUUAUCGGGUGCAGGGAUGGGCCCGCGGCCUAUCAGUCUUGGUUGGUGGGGUAAUCGGCCUACCAAGGCGACGACGGGUAGCCGACCUGAGAGGGUGACCGGCCACACUGGGACUGAGACACGGCCCAGACUCCUAGGGAGGCAGCAGUGGGGAAUAUGCACAAUGGGCAAAGCCUGAUGGCAGCGACGCCGCGUGAGGAUGGAAGGUCCUUCGGGUU